CUCCCUUUAGUUUAAGGUAAAACAGUCCAAUUUCACUGGAAAAAGGGGUCUAGCCCAAGGGGGA
rnacentral:tRNA from 1 species